rnacentral:tRNA from 2 species
CGAAGUUUGGCAUUCGUGAGGACGCAGCCCUGUCAGAAAGGGCAUUCUCGCUUAUCUGUAUAUGAGAAUUUGA